rnacentral:tRNA from 1 species
ACUGCUAAAGUUUAGAAAAACGAAGGCUUUUCAAGCCUUAGACCCAGGUUAGACCCCUGGUAGGGGUA